rnacentral:rRNA from 1 species
AUUGAACGCUGGCGGCGUGCUUUACACAUGCAAGUCGAACGAGUGGCGAACGGGUGAGUAACGCCUGGGAACGUGCCGAGUGAAGGGGGAUAACUGUUCGAAAGGGCAGCUAAUACCGCAUAUUAUUCGAGCGGCCGAGGUCUGAUUAGCUGGUAGGUGGGGUAAAGGCCCACCAAGGCGACGAUCACUAGCGGGUCUGAGAGGAUGAUCAGCCACACUGGGACUGAGACACGGCCCAGACUCCUACGGGAGGCAGCAGUGGGGAAUUUUGGACAAUGGGCGCAAGCCUGAUCCAGCCAUGCCGCGUGUCUGAAGAAGGCCUUCGGGUUGUAAAGGACUUUUAUCAGGGAAGCGUUACCUGAAGAAUAAGCACCGGCUAACUACGUGCCAGCAGCCGCGGUAAUUC